AGGUUUUACCAGCAUUCCAGCUGCAUUUAAGCAACUUGGCUGUUGGAUGCAGCCAGUGUUCGAACAGAACAGGAGGCGCACGGUUGAUCGACGGCACAACUGUCCUAACUCUGCCAACCAAUAGUUGUGUGAACGUUUAACAAGAAAGAGCUUGCAUUUAACAACAGUGGUGAUUUCCAUCCAACCUUAAAAGGAAUGCAGCAGAUAAGAACUUUAUGAAUAACAGAGUCAGAUCAUCAAGACCAACCCAUUGACGCAGGAGAGAAAACAGGACUUAACGUGAGGAAAAUGCGCAAAGUGCUGGAGGAACUCAGCAAGUCAGGAAGUUGUUGGAGCCUGGGACGUGCAGCUUGGAACGCAAUCGAAUGAUCCAGUGCUCUGCUGUGUCCGGAGAGCUGCCCCGUAGAGAAGAUCUCAGACAGAGAUUUGAAAAGGGCUGAGAACACAAGCUGACUCAUGGAAGAGACUGGGAAAGGGGUGCUGGGUGGUGCUACUGUCACCGUUCUUUUCUGUGAGUGGGGCAGUGGGGGAUUGUUAUUGUCAGCUUUUUUUCUGCGGGGAAGGGGUUGGGGAAUUUGAUGCAGUUGUCGCUGCUUUUCUCUUCAGGGGAGGAGGCAGGGGAUUUUGGGGUUUGAAAAUUUUCUUUCUUUUUCUUUUUCAUGCUGGGGUGGGGGUAAAGUUGAUCUCUUUUCUUUCAGCAUCACCAUAGUCUUUCUGUAUUUCAUGGCUUUCUGGAGAAGACAAAUAUCAGAGUUGUAUUGU